GGGCUCACACAAGCGGUGGAGCAUGUUGUUUAAUUCGAUGCAACGCGAAGAACCUUACCUGGGCUUGACAUUCAUGUGGUACCAAACCGAAAGGGGCGGGACCGUCUUUUGGCGGAGCAUGAACAGGUAUUGCAUGGCUGUCGUCAGCUCGUGUCGUGAGAUGUUGGGUUAAGUCCCGUAACGAGCGCAACCCUUAUCCUUAGUUGCCAGCACAUAAUGGUGGGGACUCUAGGGAGACUGCCGGUGUCAAACCGGAGGAAGGCGGGGACGACGUCAAGUCAUCAUGGUCCUUACGCCCAGGGCCACAAACGUGCUACAAUGGUCGGUACAAUGAGCAGCAAAGCCGUGAGGUGGAGCAAAUCUCAAAAAGCCGGCCCCAGUUCGGAUUGAAGGCUGCAAUUCGCCUUCAUG
rnacentral:rRNA from 1 species